rnacentral:snoRNA from 1 species
UUUAAUUUAAAUAAACAGAGUUUAAAGAAUUUGAAAUGUACACACAAGAAGAAAAGUAACAGCACUAGAUUGUAAAGACUGUGUUGGACCUCUUUCUUAAUGUCCAGCAUCCUUUGUCUUAAGAUUUGGUGCAAUAUUU